CACAAAAAUCUAAAACCUGAAAUUCACUGGAGAAGGGAACUGCCUAGUUGGCUAGAGGACUCUAGCCAACACAAUCCCAACCCCUGAAUAUCAGGGGUCCCUGUUUGGGGGCUACCUGUAACGUGCUAGGCCCAGAUGGUCUGGCCAGGUGUUUCCUCAGGAUCCUCAGCGAGAGGUCCACAAGAGGGUGAUGAAUAAAAGAAAGACAGGCACAAUCUAGUGACCCAAAAAUAAAAGCUUUAAUAAGCAAAACAACAAACUCAGAAUCCAUACACAGCAUAGGGUUCACUAAAAAGGCAAGGGCCAGGGUAAGUUACAAACUUAUAUUUGUUGUCGUGGAGUCUGAGAGAAAGGGUCCAAUAAAAACCAAGGACUAGGAAUACGUAAAAUCCUAUUGCACCAAAUUCUAACCAAUAAUAACAGAGAAACCACAGAAUUUUCUACUACUAUUAACAUUUAACCUUCCACGGGGCAUUUCCAGGGCACAGGGAUCUAUCUAAAAGAGAUCCUUCUUUCAAGGGCCUGGGGCAAAAUCUCUUGCCAAGCCUUUGGCCUGAUGGACUCCAACAGUCAUUAACAGAAUUGUAACUCUUAAAAAUUAUGAUUUUGGAGCAUGUUCACCACCUUUUGAUUAUCAGAGAUACCCAGCUUCCCCAAAUGAGCAUCUUAGCCCACCUGUGCUCAAGUACAGUCAUACACAAAGUUGAUUGGUCAUUCCUUAGAACUAUAUGAGAAAAAUGAGUCAUUAAGAAAGAAAAAAGAGAGGGGAAAAGCGUUCUCCUAAGAGCUGUGCCAAAUCUCUAUUGGUCAGUUCCUAUUCCCCACACUCACUUCAUCUUCUGCUAGAUUAUCACCUUUUCUUUAGUGCUACUAGGUCAAGGGUUUGUAAGAUCGGACUAAUCUGAGCUGGCAGAAUCAGUCUUCUUAAAUAAAACUAAGGGCACCUUUUUCAUAUUGUUUUCUAGUUCAGCCUAAAAGGCAAAAGAACUCCACUUCUCAUGUUCAUUUUCCAGUUUUCUUUUUCACCUGUCUGUUAGUUAAAAAGGCAGAAGAGACCUAUGAAUGGAAAUACAUCUUCACGUAGGCAGAUGUAGCCUUGUAAAUCUGCCAGGAAUAUGGAUGGCUCCCUGAGCAGAAAGGACAGGGCUUAUCAGAGAUCAUUCAGGAGAGUUUGUGAACAAUUUGGUGUAUGAAAGAAAGCCUAGGUUUAAGUCUAGGGUACACACUGUUACCAGCAGCAAUUGAAAGCUCUUCCAAUGGAAGAGGCAUAAGACCAAGCGCAAAAUUACCAGAUUUGGUCUCAGUCCUUCAGCACUUUUCCAGGCUUUUAGACCAUGACCUGAUAAAAGACAAACAGACACUAUGCUACAGCCUAAAAAGAUUUGGCAUAAAUGGCUUAGUUUAGAAGCCAUGUACUAUUUAGAUCCACCAGACUGCAAGCAGAGAGAUUAAUCUUCAGAAAUGGCCCAUAUGCCAACUCUGACCUGUUUGUGACCACAUAUGACCAAAACACAUGAACAAACUUGAGUUCAGACUCUGCAACUCUGUGAAUUUUUGGUACCAAGUAAUUCAAAAGAGUUGUGGAAUGAAAUUGUUAACUGUAGUCAGGAAAUACAUACAAGUAACACUGUGCAGUUACAAAUGAUCCUUAUUCUAAAUGCCUAGAAGUUAAACAUAUGGCAGUUGUUUCCCUUGCUAAAACUCCUCACCCCCUGGUGUGUAUGUUGGUACUUAACUAUUUACAAAGUUCCUGUGAAACAGUGCUUCUGUAUCUGUUUGUGAAACAAAGCCUAUAGAUCUAGAAACAGUAAUUUUCUAAGCAUAUUGUAGGAAUGAACUCUAAAAUCACACUGGAGCAUCCUAAGGGACAACUAACUAAUGACAGAUGUAUAGAAAUAACAAAUCAUAAACAUUAUACUCUUUCAAAUUAAUCAAAGCCUGUAAGGAAUAAUAUGAAUACUAAGAAAAUUGAAAUUGGCAGUUACCUACCAAAAAUAGAUUAUUUGAAUAUUUGGAAAGAAAAAAAUUAUGUAUGCUAGACACAUAAAGUAAAGGUCUGCUUCAAUUGCUAAAGCCAUGCACUGAUAGGAAGCUUGGCCCAUUAAUGAAACUUGCUACUGUAAGCUCAUUUAUAACACUGGAAGAAUGUCAAGAAAAUUCUUCAGGGAGAAAAAAUAGGUGCUGUGUGAUAAUGAUAUUCCACUAUGACAGUUAUCAGCUAAUUGGCCAUCUUGGAAGCUCUGCUGUUUCCCUGACACUUCCAAAUAUGCUACAAACAGUCAAAAAAACAAAGCUUACCACUGGGGGUAUUGUUAUAAGCUGUAAAAGAAAGGCACCUGGAGGUGCUAACAAAUUUAUCACACAGGUGUUAUGUCAAGAUGUAGCAGGAAGGCUCAUGAAGGAGGUAACAAACCUGUUAUACCCAUGUGGUGCUGUUCACACAAUGAAUUACAAAGGCUUCUUUACAGAGAAGAUGUGAUCAUUUCUCCAUUUUUAGGCACAGAAGUAGCCUCAGUUGAAUAAGGUUUGAGAAGACUUACAGAGUUUUACAGAAGAGAAGCUGUACCAGAAAUCCAUGUCACAGAAUGUCAAGAUAAUCAACAGGAAAGCCCACAUCCAGUAUGUCCCUGUCAGGAACCUUGAUGACAAAUUAGACUGUUGCCCUGACAAGCAUCUCCCAGAGCCUCCAUCUACACCUUCUGACUGGAGCCUCCAUUUAACCUCAUGUCUAUGCCUUCAGUCUCUGCUUAGCUACAUCACAGGUACACUUGCCCCCUGCUGUGCCUGAAUUAUUGUUUGGAUUCACCUGCCUCUGGUGCCAGGGGACAGCACUGUGUUGCCAAGGUCAUUGCCUGGCCUGCCUCAUGGCUGCUCUUCUCAAACCUUCUUUUGGGAAACAGCCUCUUCUUGCUGCUACCUGACCUUCCCAUGAUGAAAAUAUACUUGCCUUCCUAAAAGAGUCUCACUUGUCCUUAUAAAUAGGACUGUACCUUCUGCCUCUGGAAGCCCUCCUUAAUGAUAGUCCUUAAAUGCUUCUCUGAUCUGUUACAUCCAGUAACAUCUAAUAGAUUUGUAAAUGGUGGCAGUGAGUAACUCAGUUGAGCAUAAUAAAAAUGCAAUGGGAAACAAGAUUUAAUAUUCUCUGACUACCUCCAAGUAUAUAUUACGAAUUAGAGUAGGAACAUACCAAAAUUUUUUAUGCACCCUCAAAACAGCCACCUGAUUAGAGAUACAUUAUAUACACACCCAAGACUCAUACUGAUUGGAUCCUGGGAGAAGAGCAAUGAGAAGGACUAAGAAUUAGAUCUUUGCUGUCAUACUCACUGCAUGGGCUCCUAUUAAAUUAUUCUACUUCCUUUGUCUCAAGGACAAAGAAUGUCUCAAAAGAGUCAUAUACAACAGGAAGUGUUUGGUACUGUCUUAUCAGCAUUGAAAAAUUAUUAUCCUGAGUGCUGAAACAGCAAGUACUCCUCUUGCUCUGUGCCUGUCUUUUGUCUCCUGAUCCUCUGCUCCAUGAUUCAAAUAGCUACCUUUGAGCUUAAACAUGGAUUUGGGGUGAUAUCCUGGGUUUCCUCUGAACUGGCCAAUGCAAAAUAUUUAUUUUAAAAACAAAAUGUAUUUCUCUCAUUGGGGGUGGGGGCUGUAUGUUCCAAAUUUUACAGAUUCUGUCAGUUCUAUGCACAAAUCCUGAUUUUGAAGCAUAAUUUUACAUCCCAAAUUUACUACAUUUUGCAUCAGUGUUUUCCUUUAAGGUCUGGUAACAUCUUAAAACUUUAUAUCAACAGGCACAAUCAUAAUAUCUUUCAGUUUCUGCCAUUCCUAAAUACUACACACCAUUUCAAGGCUCUUGAAAUCCAAUCUUUGCCAAAGCCUUUAUUGUUCUCACCUGAUCUUUUGCCACCUUCUAAAGCAUCCAAAGAUCUUGCCAGCUCUGACUAAAUUGAACAGGCUAUAGUUAACAGGUUAGCUAUAUCGUUUCCAACGCUGGUGAUUUAGUUACUACAUUCCAUGAGACAGACAUAUAUUAUUUUGUUGCCAUUUGCCAAUGAAUGCUAUUAAGGUUUACUGUGAUCCUAGAAUGAUUCUACACUGAAAUCAGGAGACAAAAAAUGGUCUCAAAUGGUAGGUGAGUUGUAACUAAAAAACCAUUUUCCUCAUGUGAGGUUAUUACAGACUUUAUAGUGAAAGAGUGUAGCUAAAUUCUUUAAUGGUAACUUAAUGCAUGUCUAUAGCAAGAGCACAUAUAUUUUAACACAUUCUCGCACUUACUUGAACAGAAAUUCCCCGAGUUUAUCUCAGGAAAGAAAAACAACCAACCCUCCCACAGAAAAGAAAGAAAAAAAAAAAAAAAGAGGCUGCUGAACCGUGACCACACAGUGAUUUCAGUCUGAACAAACUCAGAUUUUCAAUAAACACAGUUUUUAGUAACUUAGCAAAACAAUUUCUCCCUUUUCUUUGCAGCCAGUAAAAGGCUGCUAAAAUUUGCAGCCAGUUUUCUGCAAUGCAUCAGGCCCCUUAGUGGAAGACACAGAAUGGUAAAUCACAAUAUGUAAUUGUCACUUUGUGAGUGGUUCCCUUAAACUUGUUUAGUCAGAGAAAGCAUCUACUUUUGUUUUUCUCCAGAAGUGAUCAGAAGAGUCAAAGAUACAGCUUGUAUUUCUGACUCUCAGUGCAGCGAGCAGUUUAGUGGAGUUAUGGGACUCCACACCCUACCAGGAGUUGCCAGCCUGUACAAUGCAUAGUAAACCUGGGAGGGGUUGGACAAUGGAAGUCCAUGGCUGCUCUUUCCAGAUGUCUGCUCUGCUACACUACUGUACCAAUCCCAACCAAAAACUGGAGGAAGCUACCUUUUUAAAUCCAGUUUGUGGAAUGACUUUGCAGUUUAGUUGCACCACAACAGCUGAGGAGCUGGUAAAAUUGUUGUGAAUUGUAAGGUUUAAUCAGGACUGUUAUUUUUUGAGCUACAGUCUCUACUUGAAAGCCUUGUGCUGUCAGGCUGGAGCAAAGUUAAAUGACCUAGUCAAUGACUACCCUGCUAAGAAAUCUCUUAGGGUUUUUUCCAGGAAGCUAAACAAAGAAGAUCCUACUAGAAAUGGUACUGUAUAGUAUUCUCAGAAAUAUCAUGUAUCUGAUUACAUAAACACUACAUAUUACAAAGAACUUCAGUUUUAGUAGGAGAGUUAUCCAAAAAACAACAAUGUAUCAAAUUAUUCUGAGUAAAUGGGAGCUACAUAAAAUGGAUAAUAGGUAAUCAUUAAAUAGAGAGCAGCUUAGAAGACCUUUUAUCUGCCAAAUACUAAUUUAUGUCAUAAACACUCAAAACCAUGGCAUUACAAUUACAACUCCAAAACAGAAAAACAGGUAAUUUGUUUUUGUUUUGUUUUCAUAGCAUAAACAAGCAUUAACAAUAUGGACAACAACAAUAUCAACAAGAUAAAAAUACAGUAGGUGUUAGUUUUUUUAAACUUGAUAGAAUAAUAGCAAAGACAAGUAAUUUUUAGUAAAAUAUGGUGUUGCUAAAACCAGAUAAACAUAGUUUGUUUAAAAUAGAUCAGGUUGACUAAUUGCAUCUGCCUACUUGUAUUUGUAUGCUGAGCAGACAAAAUAUUGUGCACCCGGGCCCUGAUGCCAUAAUUGGAUCUGUGCAUACAGAUCUCUGUUCUUCCUCGAAGUUCUAUUUAAUUAAAUUACGCUAUAUACCUCUUUAAAGUAAACAAGACCAUUAUUCAGUUUAUAUGUCCAUAUAAAAGAGACAGCUGGAAACAAUACAUCCAUUCAACACAAUCACACCUAAUUUAUAGACGGCACAACCUCACAGACUUCCCUAAAGUUGCAAGAAGCAUGAAUUUGACAUAGAUAGGAAGAAUACAGUUUAAAUUAAUGAAAAAAAGGAGAAAAAAACCCCAGACAUAACUAAUCAGAGAAGCAACCAGAAAUUAAUAAAUAGAGUAAGUGGACAGAUUAAACAAACAAAACCACAAACAAACAAAAUCCCAAACAAACAAAAUCCCAAACAACAAAAAACCACUAAAAGUGUGACAGGUGAAGCAGGAAUAUAACUCCCAAA